CUAAGUCUCCCCAAGGGGAUUGUGUAUAACUAAUGGUUGUGGUGUUCCUAUACCAUAUUGUAGGGAAUGUUGUGUAUUCGGUCACGUAGGCUUCGUCCAAAGGUCCGUUAGGAUUUCGGGCAAACAAAAAAGUACAGACGGAAUAAUCGCUGUUAUUGCUGGGAAACUAAGUGAACCCUCAUAGACGCCAUCACAGUACACAAGCAGUUUUCAGAUGCCGCUCAAGGUCCUCAAGGUGAAUGCUAUUGAGGCGGCACACAAAAAUUCAGCAUCGGUAUCCCGGUAUGCCCUACAUUCUAGACAUGCACGGGGCAUGGGUCAGGCACUUUGAAUAAGAAAACGCAUCAAAACGGCACAUAAAGUGAAAGGACCAGGUGCAAUGAUCAAAUGUCCCCCGCCCACCCUCAGCUAGAAGAUUAAUUGGAGAUGUAGGCAGCAGUACAGAAUCACAUAGUAUUGAGCCAAACCCAUGCCUGCCACAUCAGCUAAAACAGUUUUACAGAAAAUCCUGUUUUCUCUGCGAGUACCCUAAUUGACGUGACGUGAUCUGCCUUGUCUAUUACCUGUAAGCAUCUUACCUGAGGAAGGGUCCUGUUCGGACCAGAAACGCAUUGUUUUAGUGCAAUAAAAUCCUUUUUUGGACAUUAACUGUGUACAAAUUCCUACUCUGGUGAACCAGCGCCCGGAAAAAGCUCGAAAUUGUUUGCUUGAAUUGCCUUUCUGAGCAGUGGAUGUCAUAAGGAGUGAGCAGCAGAACAGAGCGAUUAGUGAGCCAAAUACAGAAGAUAGACACAUAUAAAAGACAUCUGCAUGACCUAGUGAGUAACACACUGAAUGGGAUAUGAACUUCCUGAUAACUAGUGUCUACAUACGACAGAUACCUUGGGGAAAUAUAGUGAUCUCCAACCACCAUUUCUGUCUCACAAUAUGUUGAAUAUCAAAAAUUUGUACAAAAAUUUGGAAUUACAAUGAUGUUUCAUGUCUUUAUUUUAAUCAAAAAGAAAUAUUAUUAAUUAUUGUAUUUGUGAUGUCCCGGUACUGUAUUUCAUACUGUACCUUGUGUGCUGGGUCCCCAAAGUCAGAGUUCCUUAGUACCGUUGGGGUCCGCUUGCUGAGAUAAUCCCUAGUCACCUCUUCGUUCCUUAAUUUUAUGUGUUACAUGUAUAUAAUUAGUGCAAAUGCAUUUAUCUAUAUAGUGUCUGCAGGACCUUAGGUCACAUGACUAAUGUUUCUACUGUGAUGGUAUGCUAAAGGCCCUUCCAGGUCACGUGAGUAGUCACAUGUUCUACCAUAAUCCUUUGUGUAAAGGACUGACAGUUGGGAUGAACCAAUCAGCUCAAGGCCAGCCCCUGCCCAUAUAAGGGAGCUGCCAACCAAUCCUCGCUCUCUUGGGUUCCGGACUAGCAGAGAGAGGAGAUCCGUGCGACUUUCAAGACAAAACCAGGCCUGAAGCCUAACAAUGCCGCAACUUACUAACCGUGAGUUACUAAAUCAAAUCCCCGCUAAAGCUAGCGUGACUGCUGGUCCUAAAACCAAUCCCCUAAAUCCAGCGGAACAGCGUAAAUUAAUUUCCAGAGCUUAUACUUACAAGGUCCCAACCAACUGUCAGGAUCCUCAUAGACUGUUCAUAUGUAAAGACUGUUCCUGUUUUACCUCUGUAUAAAAUCUGCA